rnacentral:rRNA from 1 species
UACGUAGGGUGCAAGCGUUGUCCGGAAUUAUUGGGCGUAAAGAGCUCGUAGGCGGUCUGUCGCGUCGGCUGUGAAAACCCGAGGCUCAACCUCGGGCCUGCAGUCGAUACGGGCAAACUAGAGUACUGCAGGGGAGACUGGAAUUCCUGGUGUAGCGGUGAAAUGCGCAGAUAUCAGGAGGAACACCGGUGGCGAAGGCGGGUCUCUGGGCAGUAACUGACGCUGAGGAGCGAAAGCGCGGGGAGCGAACAGG